CUGUGCAAUGCUAGUCUGAAUGACGUUCGUCCGAUCUAAGCAAUCCAUACAAUUUGUCCUUACAAAGUUGGUUUGCAUUGCAGUAGUUUUAGAUCCAUGCUCGGCAUAAUAUUUUCCUUCUAUCAAGAGACUUUGAAUUUCAGCAAGAAACAAAGGGAGAUUUCUACUUCCUUGCUUAUGAUAAUCGUAGUAAACAUAAGACAAAGGAGGGUUUUUAUUUCGUUUACAUAAUUUUUCAAACCCAGACCGUAGAGGUGCUUCACGUCCUUUUUGGUCUAGAAGAUUGACCACCACAAGAUUGUCCCCAUAAUCGUUGGCAAGUUCUUGAAAAUGCUUCCCAAACACAGUCUCGCUAUAAUCAAGAGGUUGUAAAGAUAAUAAAGGUCGAUAAUGAAGAUCAUUAACUUCGGCCCAGAACAUGGGGAUACUUCCUCGAAUUUGAGUAAAAGAAAGAACCAUUUGUUCUUCAAGGGUGAUGGGUGAUUCGAUCAUUAUUAUUUGUUCAAUUUCAUUAAAAUUAGCAGCACUUCCUUGUGCGUUUACACCUCUGGUGAAAUACCGCGUACCCGCAUAGUCAGGAGAAUGUCGUGUAAUAACACACAGUCUAAGGUUAUAAGUCUUUAAAAACGAGUUAGUAAUGGCGAUAUUACCCUGAAUCAUCGGUUGAAUCCAUUCUUGAAAGCCUAAAUCCUUAUUCGUCAAUUCAAUUAAUUCAUGAAAUGCAUAUUUAUUCCAAAAAAAGCGGUAAUUAUAUUUUGAUGUCAGUUCAAAAGAUUGGGUUAGUACGCGUAAUCUUUGAAGGGAACAGGUUAGAUCUAACGUUGGACUAAAAAGUAUUUGGCCUUUUGACAAAUGUUUAUUGAGCAAACUGAUAUAAUGUAGUUCUUCCUCAUCUUUAAUAUUUAGCAGACCCGUGGAGAAUGGAAGAGUCCUUGUAAUUGGGAAGAUAGCAAAUUUCCUUGCCCGAUAAAUAUUGUUUCCGAGAAUUGCUGCAUGCAAAUCACAACUUGUAACAAGAACUACAUAUUUGUAUAUUUUCAAUCGAAUAAAUCCAUAUAACUGAACGUUAUUAUAGUCAGGUGUCUUGCUGAGAUCAAGAGAAUUGCUCAAACUAAGGCAUCCGUCGACUCUAUCUAUUCGAAGAGAAGCUUUUUUUUUGGAACAUGAUAGAUAAAUGCUGUCUGGAAAUACUCUAACGUCCUGAUUCAUUAUUUUGUUGUAUUUGAGAAGCGUAGAUGCUUUUCUGCUAUAAUGAACCCCGGACUAAUGUAUUUUCCAAAUUAGGUCUCAAAAGUAAAAAAUGAGAAUGCUAUAUUUACAAAAAUUCAAAUCAAACUCUUUAAUGUCCAUGAAACGAUUUUUGAAGGCUUGAUUUCCAACGCAGCGCCUGAG